rnacentral:lncRNA from 1 species
UAGCCCCUACCUUCACCAUACCCCAUAGGCUUAACUGUUUGGUCAGGAUCUUCUGGUUCACUCGCCAGGGACUGCACUUUAUGAUCAGGCUUUUCUUUGUGAUCGAGCAUAGUUUUAGGAUCAGGUUCUUCUAGCUCACCCCACAUGGGUUGCAGUUCAUGAUCAGGCAUGACCUUGUCCUCAGGCUCCUCUGGUUCACCUGGCAUGGACCGCAGCAUAUGGUCAGGCAUGAUCUUGUCCUCAGGCUCCUCUGGUUCACCCGGCAUGGACCGCAGCAUAUGAUCAGGCAUGAUCUUGUCCUCAGGCUCCUCUGGUUCACCUGGCAUGGAGUGCAUUUUGCGAUCAGGCAUGAUCUUGUCCUCAGGCUCUUCCGGUUCACCCGGCAUGGACUGGAGUCUAUGAUCAGGCAUGAUCUUGUCCUCAGGCUCCUCUGGUUCACCCGGCAUGGACCGCAGCAUAUGAUCAGGCAUGAUCUUGUCCUCAGGCUCCUCUGGUUCACCUGGCAUGGAUUGCAUUUUGCGAUCAGGCAUGAUCUUGUCAUCAGGCUCUUCCGGUUCACCCGGCAUGGACUGGAGUUUAUAAUCAGGCAUGAUCUUGUCCUCAGGUUCUUCUGGUUCACCCGGCAUGGACUGGAGUUUAUGAUCAGGCAUGAUCUUGUCCUCAGGCUCCUCUGGUUCACCCGGCAUGGACUGCAGCAUAUGGUCAGGCAUGAUCUUGUCCUCAGGCUCUUCUGGUUCACCCGGCAUCGACUGGAGUUUAUGAUCAGGCAUGAUCUUGUCCUCAGGCUCCUCUGGUUCACCCGGCAUGGAUUGCAUUUUGCAAUCAGGCAUGAUCUUGUCCUCAGGCUCUUCCGGUUCACCCGGCAUGGACUGCAGCUUAUGGUCAGGCUUCACUUUGUGCUCAGAUUCUACAUUGAACAUCUCAUGAUCUUGCACGCUCAAACUAACCAUCCCAGGCUUCACAACAUGGUUCAUCUCUAGCUUUCUUGCCUCCAUCAUUGAGAGAUCCUUGAGAACCCUGCGUGCCAAAGUUGAACUAAAGAAGCAUAGUAAGAGAACGAAUCCAAAGCAUCUGCCUUGGUGUCCCUUUG